rnacentral:lncRNA from 1 species
GGAUCGAUGCCAAUGCACCCCCAAGUGUGGACAGAACAUACAUACACCCCCAUUAAGAUACACCUCAGCAUGCCAAGAGUGGAAUAUCUUUUAAGUCUAACCUGCUGCUGUUACAAGAAUAGAAAGAAACAAGGGACUUUUCCUCAAGCUUUCAAGUAGAUGGGAAGGACCAUGCACAGUUCUGGAUAAGUUACCUGAAGUUGUCUACAGAAUACAACUACACAGAGGACAUCAGUUGGUGGUUCUACAAGAGGACAAGUUAGUUCCUUAUCCAAAUGAGCUUCUGAACUAUAGCGUGGGAGAUCCCAAGCCAGAAUCAAUGGUCACAAUUAUUCAGUAACACCACCAGCAUCUGGGGGGAUCACGUUGUUUGUCCAACCUGCUACAGCUAGCAUCAGUGCAGACCCUA